AGGCUUGAAGAGAGAAGCAGGGUCUGAUCCAUAGCCUCUGUGGCAGCUGUUGAUUAGCACUUGCCUCUCUCUUUAGCUCCA
rfam:Myotis brandtii contig282778, whole genome shotgun sequence.